AGAACGUCCCAUUUAUCCCCCGCGUGGAUCUUCGUCGCGUUCGCUUCCUCCGCCACAACAACAGCGCCAUCUUUCCUUCUGUCGGUAUCCUGCCUCACGUUCCCUGUGAGAAGCCGCCAAGAUGUCAGCAGAUUUGUGUUGGCAAAUUAUUCGCAACAAUCAUGCCUACCUUGUCAAGAGGAGGGACA